AGUAACGGCGAGUUCCGGGUGAACAGCUCAGAUUUGAAUUCUGGCGCAAGCCCGAGUUGUAAUUUGUAGAGGAUGUUUCUGGCGACGUGCCUUCCGAGUUCCCUGGAACGUGGGGGCUUGGUGGGUGAGAGCCCCGUACGGUUGGAUGCCUUGGCUCUGUGAAACUCCGUGUAUGGUUCGAGUUGUUUG
rnacentral:rRNA from 1 species